GUGGGGAAUAUUGGACAAUGGGCGCAAGCCUGAUCCAGCCAUGCCGCGUGAGUGAUGAAGGCCUUAGGGUUGUAAAGCUCUUUUGUCCGGGAAGAUAAUGACUGUACCGGAAGAAUAAGCCCCGGCUAACUUCGUGCCAGCAGCCGCGGUAAUACGAAGGGGGCUAGCGUUGCUCGGAAUCACUGGGCGUAAAGGGCGCGUAGGCGGACUCUUAAGUCGGAGGUGAAAGCCCAGGGCUCAACCCUGGAAUAGCCUUCGAUACUGGGAGUCUUGAGUUCGGAAGAGGUUGGUGGAAUUGCGAGUGUAGAGGUGAAAUUCGUAGAUAUUCGCAAGAACACCAGUGGCGAAGGCGGCCAACUGGUCCGAUACUGACGCUGAGGCGCGAAAGCGUGGGGAGCAAACAGGAUUAGAAACCCCGGUAGUCC
rnacentral:rRNA from 1 species